rnacentral:lncRNA from 1 species
UACUCAAACGUUCUUAGAUCUUUAUGAUUUCAGUUAUUUUGGUCUAGAUACCGACAUUUCAUAGAUCAAUUAAUUGGGAAUAUAGUUAAGUCGUUACCGACAUUUCACUUAACAUGGCAAGUAAGAGAACGUAAUAUGGUUAAUGACCUAACGACAUUGGCUUAACUGUGAGUGCAUUCAUCUUUAGUCAUUGACAUUGUUUUGGGGUGAUUGAAGCGUAUCUAGUGGUGGAGAGAAGUUCCUAGCUAUUGUUUCUCUCAUAUUUACAUCCAUAUUCACUUUUUAAUAUUCUGUUUUCAGCAGUACUUCUGUUUUAUCUAUUUUUUUUCACCAAUCAAACCAACUCCGAAUACCCUCAAAAUUUGUGUGGUAGUCCACCACUGUGUCUAGUUACUGUGUACUUAAUUUCAUAAUUUUUGGUUGAGUCUAGAUUAGCUAAUUAAUUAGGUUUCUGCUCCUAGGUCGAGUCUGCCAGAUUUCUGGUUUACGCGUCUGUUUGUGUUUCUUAUGUGUUUAAGUCUUAGCAUCACCAAUCCUCUGCGGGUAAUGACCCCUAUUUGCUGUUUACUACAUUGAUAUAAUUGAUUUGAUAAUAGGGUAUCUUUGUAGGUGCUUUUGCGCCUAUCAGAACCGCGGACUUGCCGAGUGCUUGUGUUUCUGUUGAGGAUUUUGGUGUGUUUCUGUUGAUGAAUGGAGUGUUUUGUGUUUCUGUUGAGGAUUUUGGUGCUUUUCAAUGAGCUAGAGGCUGCUGCCAUGGCAUGUGUUGAUCUGAUGGCCGCCAGACGACUUGUAAUCUGGCUUCAGGUGGUGGUAGUAGUUUUUGUAGAUGAUAGUAGUAGCUUUUGUGGCUGGUAGUAGUAUUUUUUGUGUUAGUCGGAAACCUCACAGUAGUAGCUUUUAUAGGUGGUGGUAGUAGCUUUUGUAACUGGUGGUAGUAGCUUUUGUGUCUGGUGGUAGUAGUUUUGUGUUUCGUCGAAAACCUCACAGUAGUAGUUUUGUAGGUGAUGGUAGUAGCU